rnacentral:rRNA from 1 species
CCUACGGGUGGCAGCAGUGAGGAAUAUUGGUCAAUGGACGAAAGUCUGAACCAGCCAAGUAGCGUGAAGGAUGACUGCCCUAUGGGUUGUAAACUUCUUUUAUAUGGGAAUAAACUGUUCCACGUGUGGGAUUUUGUAUGUACCAUAUGAAUAAGGAUCGGCUAACUCCGUGUCAGCAGCCGCGGUAAUACGGAGGAUCCGAGCGUUAUCCGGAUUUAUUGGGUUUAAAGGGAGCGUAGGUGGAUUGUUAAGUCAGUUGGGAAAGUUUGCGGCUCAACCGUAAAAUUGCAUUUGAAACUGGCAGUCUUGAGUACAGUAGAGGUGGGCGGAAUUCGUGGUGUAGCGGUAAAAUGCUUAGAUAUCACGAAGAACUCCGAUUGCGAAGGCAGCUCACUGGACUGCAACUGACACUGAGGCUCGAAAGUGUGGGUAUCAAACAGGAUUAGAUACCCUAGUAGUC